GACGAACGCUGGCGGCGUGCUUAACACAUGCAAGUCGAACGGAAAGGCCCUGCUUUUGUGGGGUGCUCGAGUGGCGAACGGGUGAGUGACACGUGAGUAACCUGCCCUUGACUUUGGGAUAACUUCAGGAAACUGGGGCUAAUACCGGAUAGGAGCUCCUGCUGCAUGGUGGGGGUUGGAAAGUUUCGGCGGUUGGGGAUGGACUCGCGGCUUAUCAGCUUGUUGGUGGGGUAGUGGCUUACCAAGGCUUUGACGGGUAGCCGGCCUGGGAGGGUGACCGGCACCAUUGGGACUGAGAUACGGCCCAGACUCCUACGGGAGGCAGCAGUGGGGAAUAUUGCACAAUGGGCGGAAGCCUGAUGCAGCAACGCCGCGUGCGGGAUGACGGCCUUCGGGUUGUAAACCGCUUUCGCCUGUGACGAAGCGUGAGUGACGGUAAUGGGUAAAGAAGCACCGGCUAACUACGU
rnacentral:rRNA from 1 species